rnacentral:rRNA from 1 species
AACGAACGCUGGCGGCAUGCCUAACACAUGCAAGUCGAACGAGACCUUCGGGUCUAGUGGCGCACGGGUGCGUAACGCGUGGGAACCUGCCCUUAGGUUCGGAAUAACUCCCCGAAAGGGGUGCUAAUACCGGAUAAUGUCUUCGGACCAAAAAUUUAUCGCCUUUGGAUGGGCCCGCGUUGGAUUAGCUAGUUGGUAGGGUAAAAGCCUACCAAGGCGACGAUCCAUAGCUGGUCUGAGAGGAUGAUCAGCCACACUUGGACUGAGACACGGCCCAGACUCCUACGGGAGGCAGCAGUGGGGAAUAUUGGACAAUGGGCGAAAGCCUGAUCCAGCAAUGCCGCGUAAGUGAUGAAGGCCUUAGGGUUGUAAAGCUCUUUUACCCGGGAUGAUAGUGACAGUACCGGGAGAAUAAGCUCCGGCUAACUCCGUG